CGGUCCAGACUCCUACGGGAGGCAGCAGUGGGGAAUAUUGGACAAUGGGCGAAAGCCUGAUCCAGCCAUGCCGCGUGUGUGAAGAAGGUCUUCGGAUUGUAAAGCACUUUAAGUUGGGAGGAAGGGCAGUAAGUUAAUACCUUGCUGUUUUGACGUUACCAACAGAAUAAGCACCGGCUAACUUCGUGCCAGCAGCCGCGGUAA
rnacentral:rRNA from 1 species